GUUGUAUUUCAAUUUCAAAAUAAUAGACUGAUCAAGGUGUGCUAUUACUCAACUAUACCAUACAGUAUUACAGUCCUGGAGUGCAUAUUCUAUUUCUCAAUAAACAACAAACGUAGUUGUUGGUUUUGAGAUUUUGAAUAUUAUAUGAAUUUUCCUAUUCGCCUAAGACUAUGGAGGGGAAAAUAAAUGUAUGCACUUUCUGUUUUCCCGAAUACCUACUGCUUAAGAUAUUAAGAGUGGGUAUAAUAUUUGUCCAGAAGGGUAAAGAUAAAAUAAAACUCGUUAUGCUUAUGAUUUCGCAAUUGUAAAAUAGAACAGGGGUGGAGAAGGAUCACAAUUUUUCCAGUGGAUAUUCCAAGUUUCUAAAACUAACUCAGAUUCAUAAAUUUUGAAGUCAUUGUCAUUAAAGUCUUUAAAUACCUGCUUUGCAACUCUUCUUUUCGGUACAAGUCUUUUCUUACCCUUAUCCUAUUGCAUGGGUAGAAAAAAAAAAGAUAAGGAAACAAAUAAAAGAAAAA
rnacentral:lncRNA from 1 species